UACGAAGGGGGCUAGCGUUGUUCGGAAUUACUGGGCGUAAAGCGAGCGUAGGUCGCUGUGUGUGUCAGUGGUGAAAGCCCAAGGCUCAACCUUGGAAUUGCCAUUGAAACUGCACAGCUGGAAUCUCAGAGGGGAUAGCGGAAUUCCAAAUGUAGAGGUGAAAUUCGUAGAUAUUUGGAGGAACACCGGUGGCGAAGGCGGCUAUCUGGAUGAGUAUUGACACUGAGGCUCGAAAGUGUGGGGAUCAAACAGG
rnacentral:rRNA from 1 species